rnacentral:tRNA from 1 species
AAACAAUAGCAUUAACAUGCAUUUCGAUUUCGACUCGAAAAGAGGGCCACCAUUGUUUA